UGACCAAUGAUGAUAUUGGAUUUAUUUUCUCACGACGGUCAUCUGAUACAUGAAGAUGAUACAGAUCAUUCUUAUCUGAGGGCU